AUUUAUAAAUCUUAAUUUUUUCUUUUAAGACAAGAUAUCGGGUCUGGCACAAAAAGGAAGAAAUUUGCUUUGGAAGAAUUAUGGUGCUAUAAAAAAGAAACAAAGUAUAAAUGGGAAGUAUAAUUGUUCUACUUUCAUAUGGAAGGCCACGAAACGAUUUCUAUCUUUAGAUGUACUGUGCACGUCUUCAUAAAAGGCAUGUUGACUUUUUUGCAAUUACCAAGUACUUUAACUAAGAGUAUUAAUUAAAAGUAACUUAUUUUAUCGGUUUUUACAAGAUAUGUAAACAAUAGAGUUUAGGUUGAUAUUCUUUUUUUAUAUGAGGAUUAAGUUCAAUUCCAGGAGCUUAAAA
rnacentral:lncRNA from 1 species